ACUUCCCAUCAGCCCUUGAGGCUGCAGGGACCAGCCCUUUGGUAGGUGCGCUUUGCUUCCUAACCCGUUGCCGGGUUGGAGAUUCCACCUCCGAAGUUUUCUUUCUGACUUUUGAUUUUACAUUCCUAGUACAGUGGAGAAGCCCAGGCGGCCUAGAAUCCAGUGUCGUCCGUGAGUGCUUGGCUGGUGUUCAAGUGCAUCUUCCAGCCUGAGACCGCGUGGACUCGCUCAUCGUGAGGGCGAGAGGAGGAUAAGCCCAUUGGGCUGUCGGCUGAGAGUGAGGUGCGGGAUUGCUGAUGAAAUCCUUGGCAUCGUCGGAGAUCUCAUCGAAUGCCUCGUCGUCGAAGUCCCAGGUGGCUGAGGUAACGUUGGCCAAGGUUUCGUUAUCGUUGUCUCCCAUGAAGGGGGAAAGGCCACUGACUCUGGAGAGACAAGAGCAGGACAGCAGGUGUGGCUAGGAGAGGGCGCGACGACCAGAUGAGGGAAUUGAGGCACAGCCCAGGCUCAAGUCACCUGCCCAAAGAUUCACAGCCAGUGAGAUUGGAAGCCAGGUAUCUGCCUCUAGAGCCUGUCCUCUUAAAUGCUAUACUAUCCUAACAUUUCUGUAAAGAUGAAGUAAAUUGCAGUGUUCAGCACUGGCACCAGGCCUGGUCCACAGUAAGGAGGCGGUCCAUGCCCGGAGAUCUCAUGCAGUUCUGCUGGGUUCCCUCCACUGCCUUACCAAGCUGUGAGUGCAGGAAUGACUUUGUGACCAGCAGCUUAAGCCAAAUAAACUUUAUAAGGUAAAGAAUUUCAAAACAAAA